GACGAACGCUGGCGGCGUGCUUAACACAUGCAAGUCGAACGGAAAGGCCCUGCUUUUGUGGGGUGCCCGAGUGGCGAACGGGUGAGUAACACGUGAGUAACCUGCCCUUGACUUUGGGAUAACUUCAGGAAACUGGGGCUAAUACCGGAUAGGAGCUCCUGCUGCAUGGUGGGGGUUGGAAAGUUUCGGCGGUUGGGGAUGGACUCGCGGCUUAUCAGCUUGUUGGUGGGGUAGUGGCUUACCAAGGCUUUGACGGGUAGCCGGCCUGGGAGGGGGGACGGGCACCAUGGGACUGCGGGACGGGCCAGAAUGCUACCGGGAGGAAUGGGGGGGAAAAUUGGCAAAAAGGGCGGAGGCAGGAGGAAAAAACCCCGGUUCGGGAAGCACGGCUUUGGGGUGUGAACCGAUUUUGGCUUAGACGGAGCCGUAGUGACGGGAAUUGGUAAAAAAGCCACGGCUAACUACGUG
rnacentral:rRNA from 1 species